rnacentral:rRNA from 1 species
AGCGAACGCUGGCGGCAGGCCUAACACAUGCAAGCCGAACGAAGUCUUCGGACUUAGUGGCGGACGGGUGAGUAACACGUGGGAACGUGCCUUUUGGUUCGGAAUAACUCAGGGAAACUUGUGCUAAUACCGAAUGUGCCCUUCGGGGGAAAGAUUUAUCGCCUUUAGAGCGGCCCGCGUCUGAUUAGCUAGUUGGUGAGGUAAAGGCUCAUCAAGGCGACGAUCAGUAGCUGGUCUGAGAGGAUGAUCAGCCACAUUGGGACUGAGACACGGCCCAAACUCCUACGGGAGGCAGCAGUGGGGAAUCUUGCGCAAUGGGCGAAAGCCUGACGCAGCCAUGCCGCGUGAAUGAUGAAGGUCUUAGGAUUGUAAAAUUCUUUCACCGGGGACGAUAAUGACGGUACCCGGAGAAGAAGCCCCGGCUAACUUCGUGCCAGCCGCCGCCGUAACAC